CUUCAUGGGUCCUAGUCCCGUUCGUUAACCGCUGAGCCAUGGAGGGAAGUCCCUUUAUUUUUUACCUUUUGGGGGGCCUCUUUUAUAAGAGCACUCAUCCCAGUCUUGAGGGCUCUGCCCUCGUGACUGUGACCUAAUCAUUUUACAAAGGCUCCACCUGAAACCAUCACCUGUAGAAAAUACACGACCUAAAAGUUGUGAGUUCGCUUUAUUUGGGGACCUUACUGAAGAAUAAACCCUGGAGGCAGGCUCUCAGAUCGCAUGAGAAGCUGCUCUGAGGAGGUAAGGGGGGGAGCCAGGAUGUACAGCAGUUUUGCUGCCAGGUAGUGGGAAGUCAAACGAUUGCUGCUAAACACCCAAAAAACCCAUCUCAAGAACCUUGAAAACCAAGCAUGGGUCAGAUACCUGGUUUGUGCUAAGAGCCAAGAAAGCGGAAGCCCGAUGAAGCAGGGGUGGAAAAUGGAGCUGAGGGCCAGAGGAAGGAGGCGUCUGGUCUGGCACAAGCCCUGUGUGGGGGUCAGGACACAAGGCUCUCAUGGGCCUCUCUGAUUGUCAUCUCCUCUCAUGACUUGCUGGCCGGAAAGAGUCGAGGCGUCCCUUUGCUAAGGCUGGCCUGCCCCAGCCACGCCAUCAGAUGAAUCACAUCUAACUCUACUCACAUUGGAUCUGGGUCCUGAUAUUAAAGAGUAAAAAAAUAACCAUUUGCACUGUUUAUGAAAGUGUAUAUGGAGGUUUUUUUGCACCAGGAGUCUAUGUGAUACCAAUAAAAUGGAAAUACAGAGUCCUA